GUAACUUAAACGAAUAGCUGGAAUCUACGUAAACUGCUAAGAACCACAGAUAUAUAGAUCUGUCAGUGAACUCGUAUCCAGCACAUAUGAAGAACUCUAUAACACUUCAGUAAGAAUGCUGAAAUAAACCAACUCACUAAGAAAUGGGCAAAGGAACUGAACAGACACUUUGUGAAAGAAGAUAUCAUUGGUCAAUAGGCACAUUAAAAGGUGCUUACAUCAGGAAAAUGCAAACUUAAACUUUGUGAGAUGCCACUAACAAACCCACUGGAAUGACACAAAUUUUAUAAGAUGGACAAUACCAGGUGUAGAAAACUUGGAAUUCUCAUAUACUGCUGGUGGAAAUGUAAACUCUUCACUUUGGAUAACAGUUGUGCUGUUUCUAAUAAAGUUAAACAUACAUUUA